rnacentral:rRNA from 1 species
UGGUAGCCUUCGGUUGCCCGAGUUGUAAUCUAGAGAAGUGUUUUCCGUGCCGGCCCAUGUACAAGUCCCUUGGAACAGGGCGUCAUAGAGGGUGAGAAUCCCGUCCUUGACAUGGACCCCCGGUGCUUUGUGAUACACUUUCAACGAGUCGAGUUGUUUGGGAAUGCAGCUCAAAAUGGGUGGUGAAUUCCAUCUAAAGCUAAAUAUUGGCGAGAGACCGAUAGCGAACAAGUACCGUGAGGGAAAGAUGAAAAGCACUUUGGAAAGAGAGUUAAACAGUACGUGAAAUUGUUGAAAGGGAAACGAUUGAAGUCAGUCAUGCUCUUAGGAUUCAGCCGUUCUGCGGUGUAUUUCCUUUGAGUGGGGUCAACAUCAGUUUUGAUCGAUGGAUAAAGGCACGAGGAAGGUAGCACUCUCGGGUGAACUUAUAGCCUCGCGUCAUAUACAUUGAUUGGGACUGAGGAACGCAGCAUGCCUUUAUGGCCGGGAUUCGUCCACGUACAUGCUUAGGAUGUUGACAUAAUGGCUUUAAACGACCCGUCUUGA